rnacentral:tRNA from 1 species
GGGGAUGUAGCUCAGUGGCACAGUACCUGCUUGGCAAGCACGAGCCUCUGAGUUUGAUUUCCAGUACCCCCG